rnacentral:tRNA from 1 species
GUGUGCAUGAUCCUGCCUGGUGGUAGGUACAGACUUCAAAUCUGUAGACGGCUAACGCCGUAGUUGUUCGAUUCAACCUUGCGCAC